UACGUCCUUAAUUAGCAUUAA
rnacentral:piRNA from 1 species